rnacentral:rRNA from 1 species
GUGGGGAAUAUUGGACAAUGGGCGCAAGCCUGAUCCAGCAAUGCCGCGUGGGUGAAGAAGGUCUUCGGAUCGUAAAGCCCUUUCGACAGGGACGAUGAUGACGGUACCUGUAGAAGAAGCCCCGGCUAACUUCGUGCCAGCAGCCGCGGUAAUACGAAGGGGGCUAGCGUUACUCGGAAUUACUGGGCGUAAAGGGCGCGUAGGCGGCUCUGUUAGUCAGGCGUGAAAUUCCUGGGCUUAACCUGGGGACUGCGCUUGAUACUGCAGGGCUUGAGGACGAGAGAGGGUGGUGGAAUUCCCAGUGUAGAGGUGAAAUUCGUAGAUAUUGGGAAGAACACCGGUGGCGAAGGCGACCACCUGGCUCGGUUCUGACGCUGAGGCGCGACAGCGUGGGGAGCAAACAGGAUUAGAUACCCGGGUAGUCC